AGUGAACGCUGGCGGUAGGCCUAACACAUGCCAGUCGAACGGCAGCACAGUAAGAGCUUGCUCUUACGGGUGGCGAGUGGCGGACGGGUGAGGAAUACAUCGGAAUCUACUUUUUCGUGGGGGAUAACGUAGGGAAACUUACGCUAAUACCGCAUACGACCUACGGGUGAAAGCAGGGGAUCUUCGGACCUUGCGCGAUUGAAUGAACCGAUGUCGGAUUAGCUAGUUGGCGGGGUAAAGGCCCACCAAGGCGACGAUCCGUAGCUGGUCUGAGAGGAUGAUCAGCCACACUGGAACUGAGACACGGUCCAGACUCCUAAGGGAGGCAGCAGUGGGGAAUAUUGGACAAUGGGCGCAAGCCUGAUCCAGCCAUACCGCGUGGGUGAAGAAGGCCUUCGGGUUGUAAAGCCCUUUUGUUGGGAAAGAAAAGCAGCAGGUUAAUACCCCGCUGUUCUGACGGUACCCAAAGAAUAAGCACCGGCUAACUUCGUG
rnacentral:rRNA from 1 species